CCCAACAACAAUCCCUCAUCAGGUUAGAAGUACAAAUAGGUCAGUUAGUUGAGUCUUCCAUGAGGAGAAAACUAGGUCAAUUAUUAAGCCAAUCAAUAUCGAAUUUUAAAAAUAAUCCAUCCAUCUACCAACCACCCGGACCUAGUCAAUAAUCCAAUGUCCCACCUUAAAGUCCUCAAUUUGAAAGCGAUAAAGUAAUUUUUGAGCUUAGAAGUGAUAGGAUUUUUAAGAACCCAUACUAAGACC
rnacentral:lncRNA from 1 species